rnacentral:rRNA from 1 species
AUUGAACGCUGGCGGCAGGCCUAACACAUGCAAGUCGAGCGGAUGAAGGGAGCUUGCUCCUGGAUUCAGCGGCGGACGGGUGAGUAAUGCCUAGGAAUCUGCCUGGUAGUGGGGGAUAACGUCCGGAAACGGGCGCUAAUACCGCAUACGUCCUGAGGGAGAAAGUGGGGGAUCUUCGGACCUCACGCUAUCAGAUGAGCCUAGGUCGGAUUAGCUAGUUGGUGGGGUAAAGGCCUACCAAGGCGACGAUCCGUAACUGGUCUGAGAGGAUGAUCAGUCACACUGGAACUGAGACACGGUCCAGACUCCUACGGGAGGCAGCAGUGGGGAAUAUUGGACAAAGGGCGAAACCCUGAUCCAGCCAUGCCGCGUGUGUGAAGAAGGUCUUCGGAUUGUAAAGCACUUUAAGUUGGGAGGAAGGGCAGUAAGUUAAUACCUUGCUGUUUUGACGUUACCAACAGAAUAAGCACCGGCUAACUUCGUG